rnacentral:rRNA from 1 species
UACAGAGGCCCCAAGCGUUAGGCGGAAUCACUGGGCUUAAAGCGUGUGUAGGCGGACUUCUAAGUACCUUGUGAAAUCCCACGGCUUAACCGUGGAACUGCUUGGUAUACUGGUCGUCUUGAGCCACUUAGGGGUUACCGGAACAAAUGGUGGAGCGGUGAAAUGCGUAGAUAUCAUUUGGAACGCCAAUGGUGAAAACAGGUAACUGGGGAUGUGCAGACGCUGAGACACGAAAGCCAGGGGAGCAAACAGG